rnacentral:rRNA from 1 species
UACGUAGGGGGCUAGCGUUGUCCGGAAUCAUUGGGCGUAAAGAGCGUGUAGGCGGCUCGGUAAGUCCGCUGUGAAAGUCCAGGGCUCAACCCUGGAAUGCCAGUGGAAACUGUCGAGCUAGAGUCCGGAAGAGGCGAGUGGAAUUCCUGGUGUAGCGGUGAAAUGCGUAGAUAUCAGGAGGAACACCUGUGGCGAAAGCGGCUCACUGGACCACAACUGACGCUCAUGCACGACAGCGUGGGGAUCAAACAGG